GAUGAACGCUGGCUACAGGCUUAACACAUGCAAGUCGAGGGGAAACGGCAUUGAGUGCUUGCACUGAAUGGACGUCGACCGGCGCACGGGUGAGUAACGCGUAUCCAACCUUCCCGUUACUGCGGGAUAACCUGCCGAAAGGCAGACUAAUACCGCAUGUUCUUCGAUGACGGCAUCAGAUUCGAAGCAAAGAUUCUUCGGUAACGGAGGGGGAUGCGUCUGAUUAGCUAGCUGGCGGGGCGACGGCCCACCAAGGCGACGAUCAGUAGGGGUUCUGAGAGGUAGGUCCCCCACAUUGGAACUGAGACACGGUCCAAACUCCUACGGGAGGCAGCAGUGAGGAAUAUUGGUCAAUGGGCGGAAGCCUGAACCAGCCAAGUAGCGUGCAGGAGGACGGCCCUACGGGUUGUAAACUGCUUUUAUGCGGGGAUAAAGUGAGGGACGCGUCCCUUUUUGCAGGUACCGCAUGAAUAAGGACCGGCUAAUUCCGUGCCAGCAGCCGCGGUAAUACGGAAGGUCCGGGCGUUAUCCGGAUUUAUUGGGUUUAAAGGGAGCGUAGGCCGGGGAUUAAGUGUGUUGUGAAAUGUAAGCGCCCAACGUCUGACUUGCAGCGCAUACUGGUUCCCUUGAGUACGCGCAACGCCGGCGGAAUUCGUCGUGUAGCGGUGAAAUGCUUAGAUAUGACGAAGAACCCCGAUUGCGAAGGCAGCCGGCGGGAGCGCAACUGACGCUGAAGCUCGAAGGUGCGGGUAUCGAACAGGAUUAGAUACCCUGGUAGUCCGCACGGUAAACGAUGGAUGCCCGCUGUCGGCGCCUUGCGCCGGCGGCCAAGCGAAAGCGUUAAGCAUCCCACCUGGGGAGUACGCCGGCAACGGUGAAACUCAAAGGAAUUGACGGGGGCCCGCACAAGCGGAGGAUCAUGUGGUUUAAUUCAUGAUACGCGAGGAACCUUACUCGGGCUUGAAUUCCCGAGAGAACGAUACAG
rnacentral:rRNA from 1 species